rnacentral:lncRNA from 1 species
GCAGACGUCCCUUCCCCAGCCAGGCUGCCACCUCGCAGUUCAAUCUCAGACUGCUGUGCUAGCAGUGGGGAAGGCUCCGUGGGCAUGGAAACUGCCGAGCCAGGCACAGUAGAGAAUCACCUUGUCUGCCGGUUGCUAAGACCUUUGGAAAAGUGCAGUAUUUGGGUGAGAGUGUCCUAUUUUUCCAGGUACAGUCUGUCACGUCUUCCCUUGGCUAGGAAAGGGAAAUCCCCCGACCCCUUACACUUUCCGGGUGAGGCAACGCCCCACUCUGCUUCAGCUCACCCUCCAUGGGCUGCACUCACCUUCCAACCAGUCUCAAUGAGAUGAACCAGGUACCUCAGUUGGAAAUGCAGAAAUCACCCGUCUUCUGCGUCAAUCACGCUGAGAACUGCAGACCAGAGCUGUUCCUAUUUGGCCAUCUUGGAACCGGUCUGAGUCUGUUUUAGCCAGAUCAAGUACUUGGUGAGAGAACCUUUGUGGGAGCGCAGAAGUCCAGCAGAGAGACCCUAGCACUUUAUUUGGACCAAAAAAUAAAUAAUAAAUAAAUAAAUAAAUAAAUCCAAAACUAGAUGCAUUAAAGAAGGUGUUAGACUUCUCCUAUGGAGAAUGCAGCAAGAAAAUACCAUCUUGAAGCAGAGAGCAGCGCUCAUCAGGCAUCAGUCCUUCUGGAGCCUUGAUCUUGGACCUCCCAGCUCCAAAAUAAUAAGUAAUAAAUUGUUAUUGCUUAUAAAUU